UACGAAGGGAGCUAGCGUUGUUCGGAAUCACUGGGCGUAAAGCGCGCGUAGGCGGAUUUGCCAGUCAGGGGUGAAAUCCCGGGGCUCAACCUCGGAACUGCCUUUGAUACAGCAAGUCUUGAGUUCGAGAGAGGUGGGUGGAAUUCCUAGUGUAGAGGUGAAAUUCGUAGAGAUCGGGAGGAACACCAGUGGCGAAGGCGGCCAUCUGGCUCAACAUUGACGCUGAGGCACGAAAGCGUGGGGAGCAAACAGG
rnacentral:rRNA from 1 species